rnacentral:rRNA from 1 species
ACUCCUACGGGAGGCAGCAGUAGGGAAUCUUCCACAAUGGGCGCAAGCCUGAUGGAGCAACACCGCGUGAGUGAAGAAGGGUUUCGGCUCGUAAAGCUCUGUUGUUAAAGAAGAACACGUAUGAGAGUAACUGUUCAUACGUUGACGGUAUUUAACCAGAAAGUCACGGCUAACUACGUGCCAGCAGCCGCGGUAAUACGUAGGUGGCAAGCGUUAUCCGGAUUUAUUGGGGCAUAAAGAGAGUGCAGGCGGUUUUCUAAGUCUGAUGUGAAAGCCUUCGGCUUAACCGGAGAAGUGCAUCGGAAACUGGAUAACUUGAGUGCAGAAGAGGGUAGUGGAACUCCAUGUGUAGCGGUGGAAUGCGUAGAUAUAUGGAAGAACACCAGUGGCGAAGGCGGCUACCUGGUCUGCAACUGACGCUGAGACUCGAAAGCAUGGGUAGCGAACAGGAUUAGAUACCCUGGUAGGAUAGCG